UUUCCUGUAGCUCAGUGGUAGAGCGUCGGACCAGUGUGCGGAAGGACUCAUAGGUUCGACUCAUGUUGGGGGAA
rnacentral:tRNA from 1 species